rnacentral:lncRNA from 1 species
CAAAAAAAUACUUAACAAAAAAACUACUAAAUACUUAGAACAAAAAAGUUAAAUUAAUACUAAUCAAGUUAGAUGAACACUAGGUGCAACAAAUAAAUUACAAUUAAAGUAAAUAAAAUAAAUGAAAGUACAGGGAGGAGGUUUAUAUAAGCCAUUGUGGGAAUAUGUUAAUGGGAUGGUUAUCAUUUAUAACAUAUGCCUUAUCAUUAUAUUGCUCAAUAACGAUAGCUUCAGCUAUUCUAAUGUCUUCUGCUUUACUUAUCCCUCUAAUGACAUGUGUUUGGUUCCAUUGGAUGAUAACAUCAUACUGGUAGUAGUGUUUGAUGAGCACUGUAUUGAAGGUUGCCUUUCUUGUGCUGCUUUGGUGUUCUAUUAUUUUGGUAGUACUAUGAGAUCUUUAGGCAUCUGAUUAAAAAGAACACUAAAGCAGCAUAAGAGAGGCAACUUUCAAUGCAACGCUUGUCAAACACUACUCAAUCUGAAAACUUCGACUUUCUUUCAGACAUAUUGAAAUUAGUACAGCUAUGAUAUUGUGUCUUACUCAUGCCACAAAAUGAUCAUGUUAUCAAUCUUUAGUACAUUGCCCACAGCCAGACUUCUUUGAUCAGAAAAUUAUUCCAUGGUUGACAUUUAUUAAAUUAUACAGAUAAUUCUCAACUUAGAAUGAGGGUCAGUUUCAAAUUUCCUGUCGUAAGUCAGAAUGGUUGUAAAUUGUAAAAGUCAGAAAUUUAUAGAUUUCUUACUAUUAAUAUUUAUUA